UACGGAGGGAGCUAGCGUUAUUCGGAAUUACUGGGCGUAAAGCGCACGUAGGCGGCUUUGUAAGUUAGGAGGUGAAAGCCUGGAGCUCAACUCCAGAACUGCCUUUAAGGACUGCAUCGCUUGAAUCCAGGGAGAGGUGAGUGGAAUUCCGAAGUGUAGAGGUGAAAUUCGUAGAUAUUCGCAGGAACACCAGUGGCGAAGG
rnacentral:rRNA from 1 species